ensembl:lncRNA
AUGUUUCCUGGUAUUGUUAAGAUCAUUGUCAGUGUCAUUUCAACCUUAUUGAUGUCUAUCUACAAUAGUCCCUGGCCUGUGGCCUACCCAGUACCAUUAUGUAUGGUGUACCUAUUCAAUAAUCUUCCUAUGUCAUUCACAGAUGGAGUCCCCAGCUCCCGAGGGGUUAAGCAAAGCUUCCAGACACAGCUGGCUACCAGUCACAUGAUCAGGCCCAUCUCUACCAUCCAUAGAGCAAGCCCACGAUCCAAUGUGACAAUGAUGUCCGCAUCACCAAUCUGGACUCAAAAUCGGGUAACCCUGAAUGAAACACCUGAGAGUUGUCGAAAGACAGAAGAGCAUAUCGACUUUGGCGUAGGGUCCAACCACCAGGUAAGUUGUUCAACGCCUUACCCCAAAGUACCACAGGACGGAAUUUCAGUCCACCACUUCAGACCCCAAGAUGUCCAUAUAGAAGUCAACUAUGCUGAGCCUCUCUCACCUCCCACUGAAGAGGCAGGAGCUGAUGUUGUAUCUUUGCUUGGAUCUGACCACAAGGAACAAUCCAUGUGGGAUAUGGAAAAGGAGGAAGAGGAUCAGAACAUAGUCAGAACCUGGUUUGCUGAAGAGAAACCCGUUCUGGAAUCUGCCAUGAGUCACCGGGUCGAGACCAGCUUCAGUAUGCCAACUGUGUUCAGCACUGAUGCUCAAGAGCUCUACAGCCCUUCAGUGAGCUAUGAGAGAGCAGGUUCGGUGACAGGGGCACAUUCUGCUUUCUCAGCGAAUGAUGAUAAUGAUAUACCUUUUGAAAUGUCUUUUGAAAAAGAGGAACCUCUACUAGAUAUGCCUUAUGGUCCCAUGAAUGCAUCGGAGGAAAGAGAGCUUGAAACAGCAAAGAAAGAUGCUGAAUGGGCGGGAAACGAAGGCUUGGAAUCUGAAACUGCAUCAAUGCUAGAACAAGCAUUUGAGACCUUCACAAGCAGUCAAGCUUUUGAGUAUGGGGCGGGGAAAAGUUACAACAAGCCAAUAGAGCUUAACCAAGAGGACAAUAUGUCAUAUGAAUCCACUCAAGCCUCCCACGGUUCAGAAGAGGCAUUUCGCCAUGUUAAAAGACUGGAGGAAGAUGUUAUUCAUCUCCCAAAAGAGGAUGAAAAUGAUAUGUCUAACAAACAUGAGGAGCAAUUGGAAGAUGAAUUGCACCCCUAUGGGUAUGGUAAGGAUGAUCGUGAAAGAUUGGGAGGAUUCAUUAAGGAAAAUGACAUGACAGAAAGAAUCGAUAAGUUCAACCAAGAGGAGAUUAUCUCAUAUGAAUCUGCUCAAGCUUCUCACUGGUCAGAAGAGGUAUUUCACCAUGUUGAAAGAGUGGAGGAAGGUGACAUAAAUUUCACAAAAGUGGAUGAUGAAAAUGAUAUGUCUAACAAACGUGAGGAACAACAUGCACUGAACCCCAACGGGGAUGUAAAGGAUGAAUGGGAUCGAGUGGCAGGGUACAAUGAAGAGAAUGGAAUUGGAGAAAGAAUGGAUGAUUGGAAAGAAGGAAAGUAUCAUAUGAAAGGGGAAGAGAUGUGGAAUAACAGAGAAACCCAACCCAAUCGGGCUGAUCAAGAGUAUAUACCUUCAAAUGAAGAGAAACUAAAUCAAUUCGAGCAAGAGCAAAUACCUUCAGGCAGAGAGAAACUGAAUCAGUCUGAGCAAAGGUAUAUCAAUUCAAACGGAGAGAAACUGAAUCAAUCUGAGCAAGAGCAUAUACCUUCAGGUGGAGAGAAACUGAAUAUAUCCGACAAUGACAAAGAGGAUCAUGAUGAGGCAAACUACUGUCAAAAUAAUUCUGUUUCAUGGAGGGCUGAGCUAGAAGGCGACAGCUAUGCUCAGGACAACACACUAGCCGACACACACCCCUUGAUCCGUUACAAGAGUGACGAGACGGAUGUCAACACUCAGGCUUCACACUUGGGCGAGAGUGACUCCAGUGAUGGUGAAGAGGACAGGGAGGUUUGCCAGACAGGAACAGACACCUGGGGCGAAGGCAAGUCCAAACAGUUUGACACCAUGGAGGAUCUGUAUGAAGAGUCAGAAGGAGAUGUCAUAGAUCAGGAACGUAACAUGGGCUCCACUCACCAAGAGGACAUGGAUGCUAGCCAAACAAAGGAGCAUUCUACACAGGAGAACGAUGAGGAGAAUGCUGUAGAUCAGUUGAUUCAGGAGGCAGAAGAGGAGCAAUCCUAUGAGGAACUUACAGAACCUGGAGAGUACUCCAUGGUGUGCUCUGAUGAGGACUAUAAUGAAGAAAGAAUUGAUAGAUUGGUGGAGCAAGAGCUAGAGAAUUUAUCUAUAUCCAGUUACAGUGAACACUUUACUGGGCAGAUGAUUGAGAGCGAGUCAGUACUGAGUCUUCAAAUUGAGUCUCACACUGAACUUUCCCAGACACAAGACAUAUUAUACAGUGAGGAGGUAGAGCAGAUACACUCAGAGAGACUGAAUCAAUCUGAACAAGAGUAUAUACACUCAGAGAGACUGAAUCAAUCUGAACAAGAGUAUAUACACUCAGAGAGACUGAAUCAAUCUGAACAAGAGUAUAUACACUCAGAGAGACUGAAUCAACCUGAGCAAGAGUAUAUACACUCAGAGAGACUGAAUCAACCUGAGCAAGAGUAUAUACACUCAGAGAGACUGAAUCAACCUGAGCAAGAGUAUAUACACUCAGAGAGACUGAAUCAACCUGAGCAAGAGUAUAUACACUCAGAGAGACUGAAUCAAUCUGAACAAGAGUAUAUACCUUCAGGAGGAGAGAAACUGAAUCUAAAUGCACAAGAACACAUAUCCUCAGAUGGAGAGAAUCUGAAUCAAUCUGAACAAGAGUAUAUACCCUCAGGCGGAGAGAAACUUAAUCUAUAUGUGCAAGAAAACAUACCCUCAGAUGGAGAGAAAAUGAAUCAAUCUGAACAGGAGAAGAUACCUUCAGGAGGAGAGAAACUGAAUCAAUCUGAGCCAGAGUAUAUCAUUUCAGGCGGAGAGAAACUGAAUCAAUCCGAGCCAGAGUACAUAACUUCAGGCGGAGAUAAACUGAAUCUAUAUGUGCAAGAACACAUACCAACAGACGGAGAGGAACUGAAUCAAUCUGAACAAGAGGAUAUAACUUCAGGCGGGGAGACACUGGAUAUAUGUGAGCAAGAACAUAUACCCUCAGACAGAGAAAAAAUGAAUCAAUCCGAGCAAGAAAAUAUACCUUUAGAUGGAGAAAAACUGAAUCAAUUUGAGCAAGAAAAUAUACCUUUAGGUGGAGAAAAACUGAAUCAAUUUGAGCAAGAAAAUAUAACUUUAGGUGGAGAGAAACUGAAUCAAUCUGAACAAGAGAAGAUACCUUCAGGAGGAGAGAAACUGAAUCAAUCCGAGCCAGAGGAUAUACCUUCAAACGGAGAGAAACAGAACGUAAAUGCACUAGAACACAUACCCUCAGACAGAGAGAAACUGAAUCAAUCCGUGCCAGAGUACAUAACUUCAGGCGGAGAGAAACUGAAUCUAUAUGCGCAAGAACAUAUACCCUCAGAUGGAGAGAAACUGAAUCUAUAUGUGCAAGAACAUAUACCCUCAGACAGAGAGAAACUGAAUCAAUCUGAACAAGAGGAUAUAACUUCAGGCGGGGAGAAACUGAAUCAAUCCGAGCAAGAAAAUAUACCUUUAGGUGGAGAGAAACUGAAUCAAUUUGAGCAAGAAAAUAUACCUUUAGGUGGAGAGAAACUGAAUCAAUUUGAGCAAGAAAAUAUACCUUUAGGUGGAGAGAAACUGAAUCAAUUCGAGCAAGAAAAUAUACCUUUAGGUGGAGAGAAACUGAAUCAAUUCGAGCAAGAAAAUAUACCUUUAGGUGGAGAGACACUGGAUAUAUGUGAGCAAGAACAUAUACCCUCAGAUGGAGAGAAAAUUUAUCAAUCCGAGCCAGAGGAUAUACCUUCAAACGGAGAGAAACAGAACGUAAAUGCACAAGAACACAUACCCUCAGACAGAGAGAAACUGAAUCAAUCCGUGCCAGAGUACAUAACUUCAGGCGGAGAGAAACUGAAUCUAUAUGCGCAAGAACAUAUACCCUCAGAUGGAGAGAAACUGAAUCUAUAUGUGCAAGAACAUAUACCCUCAGACAGAGAGAAACUGAAUCAAUCUGAACAAGAGGAUAUAACUUCAGGCGGGGAGAAACUGAACCAAUCCGAGCAAGAAGAUAUAACUUCAGGCGGGGAGAAACUGAAUCAAUCCGAGCAAGAAAAUAUACCUUUAGGUGGAGAGAAACUGAAUCAAUUUGAGCAAGAAAAUAUACCUUUAGGUGGAGAGAAACUGAAUCAAUUUGAGCAAGAAAAUAUACCUUUAGGUGGAGAGAAACUGAAUCAAUUCGAGCAAGAAAAUAUACCUUUAGGUGGAGAGAAACUGAAUCAAUUCGAGCAAGAAAAUAUACCUUUAGGUGGAGAGACACUGGAUAUAUGUGAGCAAGAACAUAUACCCUCAGAUGGAGAGAAAAUUUAUCAAUCCGAGCCAGAGGAUAUACCUUCAAACGGAGAGAAACAGAACGUAAAUGCACAAGAACACAUACCCUCAGACAGAGAGAAACUGAAUCAAUCCGUGCCAGAGUACAUAACUUCAGGCGGAGAGAAACUGAAUCUAUAUGCGCAAGAACAUAUACCCUCAGAUGGAGAGAAACUGAAUCUAUAUGUGCAAGAACAUAUACCCUCAGACAGAGAGAAACUGAAUCAAUCUGAACAAGAGGAUAUAACUUCAGGCGGGGAGAAACUGAAUCAAUCCGAGCAAGAAAAUAUACCUUUAGGUGGAGAGAAACUGAAUCAAUUUGAGCAAGAAAAUAUACCUUUAGGUGGAGAAAAACUGAAUCAAUUUGAGCAAGAAAAUAUACCUUUAGGUGGAGAGAAAAUUAAUCAAUCCGAGACAGAGGAUAUACCUUUAGGUGGAGAGAAACUGAAUCAAUCUGAGCCAGAGUAUAUAAUUUCAGGCGGAGAGAAACUGAAUCAAUUCGAGCCAGAGUAUAUAAUUUCAGGCGGAGAGAAACUGGAUAUAUGUGAGCAAGAACAUAUACCCUCAGACAGAGAGAAAAUGAAUCAAUCCGAUCCCGAGUAUAUACCUUCAGGUGCAGAGAAACUGAAUCAGUCUGAGCAAGAGUGUAUACCUUCAUGUGCAGAGAAACUGAAUCAGUCUGAGCAAGAGUGUAUACCUUCAUGUGCAGAGAAACUGAAUCAGUCUGAGCAAGAGUGUAUACCUUCAGGUGCAGAGAAACUGAAUCAGUCUGAGCAAGAGUGUAUACCUUCAGGUGCAGAGAAACUGAAUCAGUCUGAGCAAGAGUGUAUACCUUCAGGUGCAGAGAAACUGAAUCAGUCUGAGCAAGAGUGUAUACCUUCAGGUGCAGAGAAACUGAAUCAGUCUGAGCAAGAGUGUAUACCUUCAGGUGCAGAGAAACUGAAUCAGUCUGAGCAAGAGCAUAUACCUUCAGGUGGAGAGAAACUGAAUCCGUCUGAGCAAAAGUGUAUACCUUCAUGUGCAGAGAAACUGAAUCAGUCUGAGCAAGAGUGUAUACCUUCAGGUGCAGAGAAACUGAAUCAGUCUGAGCAAGAGUGUAUACCUUCAGGUGCAGAGAAACUGAAUCAGUCUGAGCAAGAGUGUAUACCUUCAGGUGCAGAGAAACUGAAUCAGUCUGAGCAAGAGUGUAUACCUUCAGGUGCAGAGAAACUGAAUCAGUCUGAGCAAGAGUGUAUACCUUCAGGUGCAGAGAAACUGAAUCAGUCUGAGCAAGAGUGUAUACCUUCAGGUGCAGAGAAACUGAAUCAGUCUGAGCAAGAGCAUAUACCUUCAGGUGGAGAGAAACUGAAUCCGUCUGAGCAAAAGUGUCUUUCCUCAGAGGUUAUGUAUUCGGUGCACUCUAGGAUUCUAAUGACAUCUGAUCACACAUCUCUUAGAGAAGGUUCAGUAGAAAUAUCCCAAGAAGAAUAUUUGGCUCAAGGUAAGGUAUUCAGUGGGGGACUGGAAACUGAAGCUGUACCAGACAAAAUAGAAGGACAGGAUGACCAGAACCUUUAUAUGUCGACUCAUGCAGACUUCACUGAAAGCCAUUCUAUCUACAGCAGUUUAAACAGCAGGCCUGAGAGUCAAACCGACAUGAACAACUUGGAUAUAGAAGAGUCCAACAGCACAGAUGAUGAGUCGCCAAAUGCAAGCCAGUAUUUGCAACCUGUCGCCAAAGCAAAUCUAACUGCAGAUCAGGAAGACUUGUUAGAUGUGGCAGUCUCUCACUAUGAGGAUUGCAAUACUCUUAUUGAACAUUCUGCAGAAGAGGUCACUAGCUAUCAGGCAAGUAAUGAAUGUCUUCAGACAGAUGAAUGGGAAGUCUUAGAAAGUCCAAACAAACACCUGGAAUCUGGAGAUCCUUUUGCAGGUCACAAGAGAGACUCUGAGAGAUCAUCCAAAACUGACAGCGAAGCCCGGGACCUCCACAGCUUCCUCAGCUCUGGUGUACACAACAACUUCUGGGGUUCCAAUCUGGAGACAGGAGCCCCCUAUCAACCGGAUGAGCCAUAUGACCAUGUGACCGAGCUACCCAAUCAGAACCUAGCCUUGGCUAACAACCUAUCCUGGGUGGAUUUGGAGAAUCCACAGGCAACUAAUUGGAACACAAAGAUGGACAGCGACACACCUAAAGCUUCCACCCUUGAAGAAGAGGACGAACAGAUGCCCUCACAGGUGAAGCAGCUGGUUUGUAAAGAUGUGGUAGAGGGUGUGAAUGUUACUUCUGAAGGUUCUGAAGAUGGAGACUCCUGGUCAUCUGGGGAAGAAUAG